rnacentral:rRNA from 1 species
UACGAGGGGGGCGAGCGUUGUUCGGAAUUAUUGGGCGUAAAGGGUGCGUAGGCGGUUUGGUAAGUCUUGUGUGAAAUCUUCGGGCUCAACUCGAAGUCUGCACGAGAAACUGCCGGGCUGAGUAUGGGAGAGGUGAGUGGAAUUCCCGGUGUAGCGGUGAAAUGCGUAGAUAUCGAGAGGAACACCUGCGGCGAAGGCGGGUUGCUGGGCUGACACUGACGCUGAUUGUGCGAAAGCUAGGGGAGCGAACGGG